rnacentral:rRNA from 1 species
UGGGGAAUUUUGCACAAUGGGGGAAACCCUGAUGCAGCGACGCCGCGUGAUUUAGAAGGCCUUCGGGUUGUAAAAAUCUUUUUUACGGGAUGAAAAUGACAGUACCGUAAGAAUAAGGUCCGGCUAAAUACGUGCCAGCAGCCGCGGUAAUACGUAUGGACCGAGCGUUGUCCGGAAUCAUUGGGCGUAAAGGGUACGUAGGCGGCCUAGUAAGUUAGAAGUGAAAUAAUAUAGCUCAACUAUAUAAAGCUUUUAAAACUGCUAGGCUUGAGUGAUGGAAGAGAAAGUGGAGUUCCUCGUGUAGCGGUGAAAUGCGCAGAUAUUAGGAAGAAUACCGGUGGCGAAGGCGACUUUCUGGUCAUCAUCUGACGCUGAGGUACGAAAGCGUGGGUAGCAAACAGG